UCAUAGUCGUGUCUGUGGGUUGGUCGGCACAGUCAGUGCAGUGUGAACAGCAGGCUUUCGUGAAAACGGUCCGUAUUCAUAAUAAAAUGUUUUGGGCCAGAUAUUCAAGUUAAGUGCAGGAGCAGUGAACAUGCGGAAGAUGACGCGCACCUUCAUCCACAGUGGGUCAGUAUGAUCCUACGUUAUCUAUUACUAGGACAAGAGAGUUAUGGAGGUGGUGAAGGAGGACAUGAAGUUUGCAGGUUUGAGAGAAGAGGAAGCAGAGGACUGGGUGAGAUGGAGGAAGAUGAUCUGCUGUGGCGACCCCUGAAGGGAGAAGCCGGUUACUAAAAGUCAAAUAAUGCAAAGCUAUAUUUGAUGACUCACUCAAGCAAUAUUAAAUGUGGGGUAUGAUAUUACUAAUUCGUAUUGUAAUCACAAUUGUAUACCAUAUAAUGUUUAUGAAAAGACCAAUUGUAUAUUACUGUAGAAGUUAAUUUUGUCCUCUGGGAGUUUCCAUAGUUGAUAGGAGCUGUGUUGUGUGUGACCGCCCGAGUUUUGUGGCGUGGUAGCUUAAUAGUGACUGAGACCAAAGGCACUAAUAAACCUGUCAUGUUGCUGCACCCACCAGUUUGAAGAGUUCUCCACCAUGAAGAUGUAGAGGGAUGUAGAUAGAUCAGGAAUAAAGAGACUUGGAGCCCAAUAGAGAGGUCUUGCAAUGGUCCAGAACAGUCAAGGUGGAAGAGGCUGACUACCUGUGGCAAUGCCUGAUGGGAAAGAAGAACCAGAUGUUGCUAUUGUUCAGACUAAUGGAAAGUUACAGGUGAUAGCUGCCUAAUUGUUUUUGGUUGUAACAUUUCUCCUUGUUUUCAGAACUCUGAGUGCAGACUGAGUUUUUCACUGAUGCUCAAGGUUGUUGCUACAUUCUUGCUUGUUAUCUUCAAUGUUGUCGUCUACUUCUCCCGCCCAGUGAUUAAAGUGUAUGCUCGCUGAGAAUUCCUCAGUGAGAGUGUCAACUUCAUACUGUGGACUUGAACUCUCACUCUCUUUGCAAAGAUUCUUCAAUCAAUAUUGGUAAAAGACAAUUCCCUCUUUAAGGUCUUUAUUGUAGUCAGAAAAAUAAACCACAGAGGGGGAUGAAAAGAUUGGAUUUCACUUGGUAACAAUUUUAAAGUUGUGUCCCUUUUGUCUCUUAAUGCAGUUGUAUUGCAGAGAACUGUCAGUCUCUUCAAUUCAAACUGUAAAGAAAAUACAUUUUGCACC